rnacentral:rRNA from 1 species
GACGAACGCUGGCGGCGUGCUUAACACAUGCAAGUCGAGCGGUAAGGCCCUUCGGGGUACACGAGCGGCGAACGGGUGAGUAACACGUGGGUGAUCUGCCCUGCACUUCGGGAUAAGCCUGGGAAACUGGGUCUAAUACCGGAUACGACCUCGGGCUGCAUGGCCUGGGGUGGAAAGGUUUACUGGUGCAGGAUGGGCCCGCGGCCUAUCAGCUUGUUGGUGGGGUAAUGGCCUACCAAGGCGACGACGGGUAGCCGACCUGAGAGGGUGACCGGCCACACUGGGACUGAGACACGGCCCAGACACCUACGGGAGGCAG